UGGGCUCUCCAGGCCAUCCAGCCCCUCUGCACUGUGCUCUGCUCACUCAAACAAGCUGCAAGUGCUGGGCAAGCUCAGUCCAGCCAGGAGCUGAGCAAGAGAUCAGGGGAGUGGGGAGCAGACUGAAGACCUGCCAACUCCUCCCAAACCUCCCUUCCUGCAGCCAACCUGCAGGGAAUCCUUCCUGCCCUCCUGUUGAUUUUCUGUACAUGUGCUGGCAUCCAGGCUGGAGAGAGAAGAGAGUGAGACCUUGGUGAAUGAGGUGGAGGAGAUGAGUGGAAGAGCUCACCUGGGAUCAGAGGACACC